rnacentral:lncRNA from 1 species
CUGAAAUUCUCUACUUCAUACCAGCCUCCUAAAUUUCCCACUGAUUUAAGACAACUCUUUUCUGGGUGGAGUCACUGGUUAAAGUCACUGCUUAUUCUCUUUUGAUGAAAAGCAGGGUCAAAAGGAAUGAGUUAUCUUGUUGGAGCACAGUCCCAUGCUGAUGUUUUCCAGUGGAGCAAUAUUUCUCACGCUGAGACUGAUAAGCGCCUUCAGAAGUUGGGCCUACACUUCUAAAUCAGCAGUUCAUGAAAGGCCAUAAAAAUUAUCAUCACUUCACCAAUUCACCCGCUCUCAUCCUGGAAGAAGAGAAUGCAGAAACAGAUUCAGUUAUGUGAAUGUAACAGUCACAAACAAAGGGAAACCUGUGGCAAGAGAUGGAUUGAGAUCACAUGGUCUCAUGCUCUGCCAGACGAAGACCUUUAUUGAGAAAAUAGCAUCAAGAAAAGGUACAUAGGAUUCUAUUAGUGACCAGAAAACAAGAACUCCUACAGAGACCCUGCUUUGUUUGCAGAUGACAUUCUUCGGAACAGGUAGAGGUCUGUCAUUACUAUCCCUCUAGAAUAUUCUCAAUCUACUAAUCUGCAAUGCCAAACCAUCACUAACUACAAUUCCCAUGUUGUGCUUGGUGCUUCC